AUGACUCUUGCACCUGUUUUGUUACUCAUGGGGAGCAUAUGCCUUUCUAACUUAUGGUGAUAUGUUAGUUCAUGUGUCCUGUUAGGUUUUGAUGAUGUUUCAUCAAAUGUCUUGACAUCCUGACUAAGAGAAUUUAUUUUUCUCUAAAGCAGGUUCUUUGUGUGAGAGUUUAAUUCUCUCUGAUAUGAGGCUAAUUUUUUUUCUUUCUU
rnacentral:lncRNA from 1 species